GGGGAUGUGGCGGAAUUGGUAUACGCGCUAGCUUGAGGUGUUAGUGGGGCAACCCAUGAGAGUUCGAGUCUCUCCAUCCCCACCA
rnacentral:tRNA from 1 species